GUGUGUGUGUGUGUGUGUGUGUACUAGGGCAGUAGGUAUGUGCACAUGAAUGCAGUACCCAUGGACGCCAGAAGAGGGUGCCUGAUCCCACGGAGCUGGGAUUUACAAGUAGUUGUGAGACAGCCAGUGGAUACAAAUGCUAGGAACCAGACUCCUGACCUCUUCUAGAGCAGUACGCACCCUAACCACUGCGCCAUCUCUUCGAUGCCCUGUAGUUUUUCUCUCGACCCAGCCUACAUAAGUUACCUUGGCACACAUGCAUUAUCCAUCACUUUUGAUUAGCCGGCAGAUAUUUUAUGGAAGCCCUAUUCUUAUACAACCUCAGAGGAUGGAGGCCAUGUCAAGCUCUCUCUUCAUGCUCCAGGCUAGCACUAUCGAGGUUCUUCUUGGGAGAAACACUGAAAUAAAAGAAUAAAGUAAACUACACCUUGCGGUACACUUUGCAGAACCUUUGGCUGCAAGCCACACAUCUGAAUGUGGGACUCAUGGCUAGUCGGGUCUCAGGAAAAGGCUUCUGAACACGCAACAGACAGAAAUUAAUCCAAAAUCAAACCUGUACUGUAUCAGAGGGGGUUCCGGCAGAGCUCGCCAGGCUUGCACUGGGCAGCGUUACUAUGGCUUUGGCUCUGAACUCAUUGCACUGUACGGACUGCCACACCACGCGCCGACUGCCACACCACGCGCCGACUGCCACACUAUGCACCGAUAGCUACCGAAGCCCAAACCCCUCAGAUCACCCCUCAGGACUGCUGUGUCCCUACAAUGGAGUCCAUACAACAUACAGAGUCCAUACAACAUUUCCUGCUUUUACAGAAGUGGAAUAGUUUAAUUAUCGAAACCAAAGACUUUUAGUAUCAUUCUAAAAUGAUAUCAUUUUGGAUAUCAUGCUUCAGCGUGUGAGCAGCUUUGCCCCACCAUGAACUUCCACGGUGGAGUGGUGUUUCACCAAGAACUCCAUCAGCCACCAAAGACACCCUGGAGCGUCGGACGUGUCCGACAGAACGCCUUUCCUUAGGCGGCAACUACACCAAGUAUCUGCUAUCACGACAGAAAAUUGAGUAAAAUACCCAACGUCCCAACUUGAUUGAUGGAGCGUGACCCCCAACUGGCACUAAUGAGCAGGACCCUCAGCAUCUUGUCACCAGCCUGCACCCGUCACCAGCCUGCACCCUGAGAAGAGGUGGCCGAACGGGGUGGAGACUGACCCCACUGGCCGUGAAGGGCAGCCACAUUCCUGGGCUUGGCCACUGCUAGGGGCUGAGCCCCACGAAGCUCUGUGGCUCCAGUGUUUCAGAGAAGUUUCCAGUUAGUCAGCUUUCAAGUGGGUGAGUUCUGGGAUGAAUUAGACCAGGGAUUCUUAGCUUUUCACUUUGAGGUAUAGGAUCUUUUGUGAAACUAAGGAAAGCUACGGAAGCCCACAGCAUGGCUCAGCGGGCUAAGGUCACUUGCAGCUAAGCUCAAUGGACCUGGGUUUGAUCCCCAGAACCCACAGAGUGGAAGGAGAAAACUAACUUCCACCUCAGCAUGUGUGGACCAUCUACGUGUGCAUACCCUUGCAUGGACACACACAUAUGCACAAACAUGGGUGUGCACAUAAUAAAUACAUAAGCAAAUAAACUACAGAAAGUUAUAAUACCUCUUACCAGUAAGGUUAGCAAAUGUAGAUAGCCCCACAUUUUGUAAACAGGUUUAGGAAUCCAGAGUCUACUUGACAGGAUACAAACACCCAUUUGCUCUGUAUGAUAGCCCUGGGACUCGGGA